rnacentral:lncRNA from 1 species
CUAUCUGGGUGAUCAUUCAACACAAGGGAAUGGCUUGAGAUACUUCCAACAUGUUCAAAUGGGGUCUAUUCAUCAGUCAAAACGUUAAUCUUGAAGGAGCAAAAGUUUGUUCAUGAGCUGUCAUGCUCGCUAGGUGAGCAGAAGGGGUCGCCUAGCGAGUCCCAAGAAAAGCCACCAGAAUCACCUAUGCUCAGAGGAAUUUCUUGAAUUGUCAUGCUCGCUAGGCGAAGCCCACGCGUUUUGAAAAAAAAAACGAAAAAAAACAAAUAAAUAAAUAAAUAAAUAA